GUACUCCACCAUAAUCCAAACUUGCAACUUCCAACAUUCAGUCUACCUAAGAUCCUUGAAAUAAAACUGAAGUAAACACAAAUUUGAGCGCCUGAACAACGCAAGUAGUUUUCUGUGAAUCCCCACAAUUGCUUUCUUCAAUUCGAAUAAAUAGAAGAAAAACUGAUAACAUAGAAAUUCAACAUGGCGAACCUUGUUUUCAUUAGUUUGCUGAUAUUUGUAAUUGUAUUUGUAUUGAUACAAAUUGCCAUCGCUUCACCGAUUGAAGCUCCCAAACCAGUGAAAGUGGGCAAUCCUGGCCAAUAUGGCUAUUGCUACUAUCCUUACGUCAAUGUAAGGGGGACUUGUGUCAAACUAUUCCCUUGAUUUGGGAAAAGAUUGCAAAGACCACCGUCUCCCUAUUGACUGUAUUGCAGGAGUUGACUUCAUAAGGCUUUUUCCAUUGAAAGAAUAUUUAAUUGAACUAUGCCCAUAACAUAUAAUCUUAUAUAAUCCAAAUGAAUGCACAAAAAUACAUGAUAAAACAUCUAAGCAAUUUGUCACUAUACUAUGUCAAUCUUGUUUCUUUAUUAUAGUUAUAGGUAUAGCACUAUACUCAGAUAAAUGUUUUUAGAAUUAUAGAAAUAGGAAAUAAACUACUUUAUUUUUUUCCUUCAA